UUCAAGGAAGAUGUCGGGUGGAUGGCGAUCGCAAGGGUCAUUACUGACAGGCCCUUUAGCUCAUCUUCCCUAUUUGAUACGAUGAAGUUCGUCUGGGGCCUGGCGCAAACGCCAAAGUUCAGAGAGGCAGGAGCAAAUAGAUUUAUCUUCCAGAUGUUCUGCCUCGGAGACUGGAAGAAAGUAGUCCAUGGGGGCCCCUGGCUCUUUCGGAACUAUGCAGUGGUCAUUGAGGAUUAUGAUGGUAAAAGUGAUCCAGAAGAAUAUGCUCUAGAUGGUUUGUUCCUAUGGGCACAGAUCCAUAAAGUUCUAGACCUUUACCGCCAUCCAGAGGUGGUUCAUGAGUUAGCACGCAGGAUCGGCAAAGUUAGUGAGGUACAGCUUCGGCCUACCCUGUACUAUGAAGGAGACUAUGUAAGAGCUAGGGUUCGAGAUCUGACGGCCAAACCUUUGACAAGCUUUACUCCUCUUAAUGUGGAGGGAGAAGGGAGGAAGAUGCUGGUAGUAAAGUAUGAAAAAGUUCCGUUCUUCUGCAAAAUCUGUGGGAUCAUGCGCCAUGGCUUUGAGGAGUGUGGCAACGGGAUAUGGAGCGACUCUGACAAGAAGUGGGGUAGUUGGAUGCUUGCAAAACGCAGGACAGUAUCUUACACCCAGCCUUCCGAUGGGAGAUCCUUCUUCCGUGGAGGCCGGGGCAGAGGAGGUGCACUAGGAAGAGGUCAGGAGAUGAACCAAGGCAGGGAAGGAGUGGCAAACAACAUUGACCCCGAUCAUGGAAGAAAGCUCCUGGAGGAAGAUGACUAA
rnacentral:rRNA from 1 species